UGUGGCCACACUAAUUAUUGUCAGCGGCUGGGAGUGAUAUGGACUCGCAGAGAAAUGCAACGUCCUGCCCUUCUACAUCUUGAAUAGUGGGAGUCAUGAACCGCUGCAAGGUGACGCGUCCCUUGAUUUCAACCGAAACUUCAAACUAGACACGCGGUGUUAUUUAUCACCAUCUGAACCUCCCGUCAAACCGCACCAGCUCCUUUCUUAUCAAACGACGAGAUCGGGACCAUCUUGCGCAGUGGUACGGCGAGCGGAGCAAGCGGUGGCGGCCACUCCGGGGAAUGUCGACUGGCCGUCAGUCCUGACAUCGGCCUCUUGUGAUCUCACGCACCAGGUCCAUGUGUGGUCAGUGAAGCAUCCUGGAGAGCAACAUGGCAAUGUAUCAAUUGAGCGUCGGGUUGAGAUGAGUGUCGCCUGUUGGCAAUGUGAGCUCCACUGACGAACAGCUUUUCUUCACACCAGACCUCAACCUCAAUCACCAGCCAAUCAAAUGCACCCAGACAAUAAACUGGCCAAUCAUGGCAAGCAGGUCACCGGCGACAGCCGAUCCCAAAUACCCGGUGUAAACCAACAGGCUCAGCAGCAGCAAGGAGCUGCUGGCCACCUGGGUCCAAAGGGCGUUGGUGCCGGGAGCCAUGGAGUCAAAACGAACCAGAUUUCCCCCGGCAACCCCGGGCUGAAGGCUGUCAGCCAAUCGGUGAGCAGCGUCGGAGGGAUGCAGAAAACCAAAUCCAAGCGGGAGAGGAGCGUCUCCAUCGACUCUGGUGAAUCAAGAAAUGCCGUUCCUCCAGAGACGGAUGCCAAAGGAGGUAAGGCAUUCACGCACAGACUAAACUGUGUCAGCGUCUGGGACGUAUAGACAGUGUGUCUCUGUUCCAAGUAUGCGGAAGUUCACUUCCUUCACCAUCCUAUCAGCCAAAUCUUUACCCGAAAUACCAGAUUACGUGCAUUCACCUCCUCCACAGCAGGAAGUGAAUGUAAGGACUGAGAGGACAGAAUAACUUGUUUUCUCUCGAGCUGAAAGGCCCUGACCUUUCAGUGAAGCAUCAGAAUUUCCCCCUGGCUUUUGAUAGUUGGCGCCAUGCCCGCGCUGCGCUGAUGUGUCGCAGAUGAAAAGGCAUCUGGGCUUUCUGUAGUGCUCAGAGGAAGAGACGGGUCGUGAGCUAGCAAAAACUGAAUAAGCAUAAAGAGGUUGUUGUUGUUGAAUCAGAGACGGUGAUUGGGUGGGAAGAGUUAAUGUUCUUUUUGUUGUCAUUGUCUUGAUAUAUAUUUGUGUUUGUGUGGUUCGGUACAGAGUGUUUGAUUUGCAUUUGUUGGUUGUUAUUAACGUGCUUGUGUGUUCACGUGACUGCGGAUGACAAUGUGAUUUUGUGAAACUCAUCUGGGCUUCCUGUACAUGACUUAAACCUCUUUAAACACACGCACACUCAGAAGCAGAGUCGUGGUUCCAAAAUAUAGACUGACAGAGGCCAAAAGAGUGAGAGAAUGAGAGAUAGGGAAAUCUGUUCUGGCUUCAUUUGACACACACACACACACACACUCUCUGUCUGUCUGUCUCUCUCUUUGUGAUCUAGUUUCUGCUUAUAGAAGUACAUUCAAUUGAAACCCAAGCCUCCCACAAUUUUACAUCAAAUCACUCCGCUGCCAAACCUGAAAACACUUGGUGACAAAAGGUGUGAACACAGUUGGGUUUCUUUUCAUGUUACUGUUUAAGAUAAACCACUAAAUGCUGGCAACAAAAACAUUCACAGAAGACGAAGUCGGCUCUGUCAUACUGCCCGUCUGUGUCAAGGUGGCCGCCCUCCCUCUGCUGUCCUUUUCCCUGUAUUGUCACUGCACACAUCCUUCCUUCUUUACUUUACAUUCACGCGUCUUAAGUCUGUGGUUACCCAAGCUCAUCUGAUGUGUUUACUGGAAAGUAGUUUUCAGCCACAAAGUCAGUAAGAUAUCGAGCAAUGAACCUUGGAAAAUCUCCACUGAUUUGUUUAUAGAGCUUAUCUAAAUGUGUUGCCAGUGUGCUUUUCUUUCCUGUCACCAUUUAGAGUUCAAAAUCAGUACAGAGAUGAGAAGAACUGCAAAUAAUUGCAGUUUUUAAUUUUUUACCUGCAAGUAUUUAAUUUUUAGUUCAUUUAAGAAUAUAUAUUUAUGAGUCAGCUCAGGCUAUUUCGGUAUUUACAAAUGUUUCACAGGACAAAAAGAGCUUCAGUUUAAAGUGGUUCUGACAUUUGACAUCCUGUUCAGAUUUAAAGCUGUAGACUGAUCCUACAACUUCCAGCAAGUAAGGCCAAAUGUAUUAGAGCAGACAGUAGCACAUCCGCAUCUGGCUGUGGAAAAUACUGUGGUGUGUUCAGACCAUUAGUGGUGAAUGAUGCGAAAAAAAUAACAUUGAUAGUACCCUUUAAAGUGUAUAUGUGUGUGUGUGUGUGUGUGUGUGUGU